GUUACUAUUAAUCUAUUGGAUACAUCCACAGACUUUAUCCUAUUUAGUAUUUUAUGCACCAGUAAUAGAUACACAAAUCUGCCUUGAUUUAACUUGAAUGCAGGUUUGCUGCUACCGAAUCCUUCUCCAGCCACACAAGACUUCAUUAUUUACAGGACAGCAAAGAAAUUUUAUUCUACCUUUGUAGGGAAAUUAAAAUCCUCUCGAAGUACUCGGGAUGCAUCAAAACCAAAUGCAUCUGUUCUAUGCAGUGCAGACAUUUGGUUAUUGAGCUAUCCCGUACCUUUUAAUAGAAAGCAGAUUGUGGGUCUAUUGUAAAAUCCGUAUCAACUCCAUGUAAAACGAUCAGAUACAUUCAGUGAUUUAGCUUCUACCAGUGAACAUCUUAUCCGGUUCUGAAGAACGCGAUGCGUGUUGCUGUGUGGAUCUUCCCGAGUCAGCUAUUUCAGAGUUCUGCACAGACACAGGCAGACAGGCAGCAGAGGGGCAGCAACCGGGAGCAACCUCGGAGCAAUUGCGAGGGAUCAGAGUGACACCGCGGCCGUCACGGGAACACUGCGCAGGACACGUCCCACUGCAGAGUGACAAGGACGAUAACGAGCGGGUGAAAAAUGCCUUCAUUAUGAGGACUGAUCAUUAGUGGAUGUGAAGUUGAGAAGAUGAUGAAGAUGAGUUGUUGGCUCUAGCAGAGAAUUGACCCAUCAGUGUCAUUAAGUGAACUCCAGCAAGCCCAGCAAUUCCCAGGGGGCAAAUCAUUGAAUUCCUCAGGAGCAAAGGCCUGAUUUCAUUCUGGCAUAAAUAAAAGUGACUUCACAGAAACCAAUGGCAACAUCUGCAGUUACAUCAAAUCUGAAUCCAAAAGGCCAGUCCAGAGCAGCAACAAGAGUGCGAGCUCCAGAGGAACAGGCAGGGCUGGGUAUUUUCUUCCUCCAGCUGAAAUAACAGCACUGAGCUCUUCUCACUACUCCUCUCCUGUAGUCUUCCCAUAAUCAAAGCAAAUCAGCAGAAGAAACAACAUGGAAAGGACAAGGCCACAGUCAUGAAGAUACUUGGAGUCUUCCCCUUGCUGAGAUGAAGACCUCAUCUCGUUGAGAAAAGCCGUGGCCCAGCUGUACUCUGCCUCCACUUUCUACCGUAGGAAUAGCAAACAUGAGGUGGGAGGGAGCGGGGAAGUGAAGCGUAAUAUUGUGAACUUCUGCUAAAUCACACAAUCUGUUAUCCUGCUCUCAGACAGUGUUCCAGAUCUCCCUUCUACCAGACCUUCAACACAACACAAGCCACCAGGGUAGGCUGCCUCCCAUUGUGCUCUGUCUUCUAAAAGCAAACAUUGUUCAUAGCAUGCAUGUUUAACCAGGGUGUGCUCUCUUCAGAGAACUGCUUUGGCACGUGGAUUUAGGCCAGCAUCAACAAAGCUGAUUUUCCUAUGAAUCUUCUGCCUUGAGAAUUGUCACAUGCAUGGCAAGUAUUCUUGUCAAUCUGCUUUUGUGAAGACCACCCGUUGCAUUGCCCUGGAACCGUGGGCUGCUCUUCAGCGCUGUGAUUAGCACUCCCAGAACAUUGGGUCUUUCGCAAUGGCUAAGGGGAGACUUCCCAACAUCACACGUGGGCCCACAUAAAGACACACAAACACAGAAGUACUAUUGUAAAGGGCAAAUCAGAAAUGCAAAAAGCAAAUCAGGAUAACAAAGAACAUCUCAGAGCUUCUGGCCUCAAGUGCACAUCUGCCUGCCAAAAUAUGAGCACUUGUCAACACCAAUUCAUUUUCCAGGUGAGACAGGCCAGGGUAAACUUGCUGACAACUUUAUUCCUUUGGGGAGCAAAAGGUGUCUUGCAUCUUCACCAAAGGAAGGCAGUGGUUGCUGCAACCAGCAAGCUCUAUUGCCAAUUGUAACCUGUUGUAUUUCUUCCUUCUGAUAAUGUCAGGUGCCAACACAGCUCCAUAACAACAACUCUGGAGAUAGCCAAGGCUUUUGCAGCCAUGGUGAGUAAAUGGUGGUAGACCCCUAGCUUGUGGUACUGAUUUUUGUGAUAAACCUGCCUUUGUGCUCUGUGUUUCAGCCGGACAAGGAUGGCUGCCAGCUCUUGCCAGCUCCAGAUACCUAUUCUGGAAGCAGCCAUCUCGGAUGAACGUUACUUUGCCAAACUACAAUUGCCAGCGGCAUUGUCAGAAUCUUAGCUGUUUUCUCUUAAAAAGGAACAUGUAAAAGGGACACGGGCUAACAAGCUAACCUCCAAAACCACAGAAAAAACCCUCCCAGGAAGAAAAGUUCCCUGGUCUCCUCUACAUGUACGUUGCUGAAAUAAAAUGGCUGAAGUACCACCGUGCUCUGAUCCCCAUUCACAAUAUAGCCUUGUAGACCAUUCUCCCAGGAAAAGUAGUUCUGCUGUGCUUGCUGCCUUACUGAUGGCUAUCUUGCACAAAGAAACCAAAGUUUCCCAUACCUGCAGUCUGUUCCCAGGGAAUUCCUGGGAUAAAAUACUAGACCUGUAUUUCUACAUAAUCUCAGCGUCAUGGUUUAAGCCCAGCCAACAACUAAGCACCACACAGCUGCUCACUCACUCCCCUGCCCCCAGCGAGACGAGGGGGAGAAUCAGUAGAGCGAAAGUGAGAAAACUCAGGGGUUGAGGUAAAGACAGUUUAAUAAGUAAAAUGAAAGCCCAUCGUGAAAGCAAAGCAAAAAGAGGAAUUCAUUAAUUACUUCCCAUGGGCAGGCAGGUGUUCAGCCACCUCGAGGAAAGCAGGGCUGCAUCAUGCCUAACGGUUACUUGGGAAGACAAAUGGCAUCACUCUGAACGUCCCUCCCUUACUUUUUCUUCCCCCAGCUCUCUAUACUGAGCAUGGCAAUGUCUGGUAUGCAAUGUCCUUUUGGUCAGUCGGGGUCAGCUGUCCCAGCUGUGUCUCCUCCCAACUUGUUCCCCCCCAGCCUGCUCGCUGGCAGGGGGUAUGAGUGACCAAAAAUGCCUUGACUCUGUGUAAGCACUGCUCAGCAAUAACUAAAACAUCCCUGCAUUAUCAACACUGUUUCCAGCACAAAUCCAAGACUAGCUAAAAUUAACUCUAUCCCAGCCCAAACCAGCACGCUCACUGACUUGAAGCGUUCCACACCUGCACGAUGAAAUGAACCUUGUUAUCUAUUUCUAUGGGCUUGUGGACUUUUAUUCCCAUUUCCUGCUCUUGGGUUCCACUGGUGACCAUAAGGUGCUGCGGAGGGAAGAAGGAAAAGCAAAUGCAAAUAAAGGAAGACCUUUGUAUACAUCCCCAAAAGAGCCGACAGAAAAGGUCAGAUAAUACAUAUUAAAAACAAAUAGCUGGAAAAAUAAACAGGAUGCCUUGAAAAUGAACCAGAUGAGUCAAAAGGCACAGAAGGAAUCUAUUUUAAAAAAAAGAAAGUUAAUGUAGGAUAACACAGUUAAAGCAAGAUAAUUGUUAUAGAAAACUCAGCUGCAGCAAAUGCAGCAACAAACGUCUACAGAGGAAAAAGCACUUGCACAAAAAUAACAUAGCAAAAACAAAUAUGGCCAUAAAUUCAGCCCGAGGUUCCAGGCUCCCGCAGAGGAGAUGUAGAGAAACAUUCUAAAAACCAAAGAUGCUGUUUGCGUUUUCAGAAAUGCAGCUUUGAGUGAGUUGUGUUUCUCUUGUGUUAGUCUCCUACGUGUCCCAAGCCAUCUGCGUUGCCAUAUUUGUUUGACAAGGUGCAUCUACACAGCAACUUCUCUGAGUCACUGACCACAAGCGAGAGCUGCUUUCCCAUGAAAUCUUUAACAAAAAGUAGAAGUUUCUGAAGAAAUACGUCAGUUUGAACAAAAAUGUUUUUCACAUACAGAGAUAGCUGAAGAAGCUGCAAUUCCAAAGCUAAAAUAAUACUACACAAGGGUUAAAACCCACAUUGCCCUGUCCUUGGUAAAACACACAGACUGUUCUCUGCUCUGGGGUCCAUAUCUAUCUGCCUGUCUCUGAGAAUUUUAAAAGGCCUUGCUGUCAUUUCCUAUUGGAAAAUAAAUACACUUCAAAACCUCAAAACUUGCUGAACAGAACGGUUGUUUUCCUAGUCCAAGAGCAAUAGUCUCCUCUCUGGUAAAUUCUGUACUGCAUUGGAACCCCACGGCUUGUUCUCUGCAUGUUGACUUUAGACCAGCUUUCCUGGGCAGCUGCGGUAAAUAAAGCCCUCAGCUGGUUUUUGGUGCCGCAGGGGGUGGGGAGGGACGGGGUCACAUCACACGCUGCAGUGAUCCUGCCCCAGCAGGGUAAGACGUUCGGAACCAUGCGGGAACUCCUCAGAUCUCAGUUUAACAGCGUUUUACCAGACCAGGCCCUGAAAACUUUCAUGUGUCUGAACUGGAUUGUUUUCCAAAAUUCAUGAUACACACUGGCCAGGGCAGAUGAUGAGUGUGUAAUGAGGUAAAGAGGCACUGGGAUGGGGUAAGGCAGCUCACACUCUACCAUAAAGCCAUACAUAAGUGGUAGGUACUGUAGCAAAAUCAAGGGAAGAGAAGGGAGUCUGCAGAUCCCAUAUUAUUAACAUAAAGCUAGAGUUUAAUAAGUUAAACCUGUCAGACCAUAAGCAUUAUACGGCUAUGCUGGCAAUCACGCUGAGGUGUAUUUUAACGCUAACAUCUGUAUCGUUUGCACAUCUUUAACAUAAAACUAUAGUUCAGCUAAGGUUUUAUGGCAAAAAUGUUACUUCCUGAUAGUUUUAUUUAGUUUCAGACUUUAUUUGCAGGCUGCAAAACAUAUAACGUUUGAGGAAAAAAAAUAUAGUGAAUACAUAAAUAAGAGGUUUAUGAGAAAACUCCAUGCCUUUAAAAACACUUGUUUAAAGGAAUUAAAAGGCAAAGGGCCAAAAUGCAACAUACUCCAGUAAAAACAGAAGGUCAAUGCUGGAUGAAAGGCAGUAAUUUCACUCCAUGUUGCACAGACUAACACAGAGCAUUGGAACAUCCCCUGUAUCCCAGACAUGGAGCUGCUGAGAUCAUCCCAAAAACCAGGUUCAACUGUAUUGACAGUUCAGGCAGACAAAAAGAUGCUUCAUUUAGGGGCAUCAUCAAGCUGAUGUAACAAUUUUUAAGUGACCUAAAAUAUUGUCCAUCAUUGAUGCAUGGUAGAGUGGUAUAUGACAGGAGAAACAUCCAUUAAAGCUGAAAAUCUAAUCAAAAGCAUACCUUGCUUUUGGUAGAAAAGUGGACUUAAGGGGACACAGAAUUAUCAGGAAAAAAGGAAUGAUAGAAAUACACGGUGUUUCUCCUUUCCUAUAAGCUUUCACUGAGCAAAUUAAAAAUACCCGUAGCAUACAAUGAAUCAAUGGUCUGAAUCAUGCCCCACAAUAAUUCUGUAAUGCACCCCAGCACAGAGCGCUUAGCCUAAAAUGAGACAAUCUCUAGUGACUUCAAAUAAGUUACUUGAAUUAGCUGAGGUAUCAUUUAUAAAGUGUCU